ensembl:ncRNA Y63D3A.12 ncRNA
GCCUAAGUCUCAUCCUAAGCCUAAUCUUUAGCCUAAAUCUAAGCCGAACUCUUAGAUGAAGCCUAAGCCUACGCCUACUUCAAAGCCUAUUCCUAGGCCUAAGCUCAAGCCUACACCUAAGCCUAAGCCUAAGCCUAAA